UACGAAGGGGGCUAGCGUGGCUCGGAAUCACUGGGCGUAAAGCGCACGUAGGCGGCUUUUUAAGUCAGGGGUGAAAUCCUGGAGCUCAACUCCAGAACUGCCUUUGAUACUGAGAAGCUUGAGUCCGGGAGAGGUGAGUGGAACUGCGAGUGUAGAGGUGAAAUUCGUAGAUAUUCGCAAGAACACCAGUGGCGAAGGCGGCUCACUGGCCCGGUACUGACGCUGAGGUGCG
rnacentral:rRNA from 1 species